UGCGGGUUAAUCAAACGCCCUACCACCAACGAUUUCUUAAAGAAUAUUUGCUAAUUUGAUUUUAAAUAAAAGAUGAAUGAAUCCUUAAUCAUGGAAGUCUUCCAUGUAUAUAUGUCAAAUACGUGUUUCAUUGGAUUUAUUGAUAUCUGCCUGCGGGAAUCUAACACUGGUGCAGUCGCAUCUUUAUUAGAAAGUCGGCCGUCUCUACUGCACUGCUUAGGCCACGACGAUUUCAAAUUAAAUAGUAAAUUCUAGAAUAAAUGAGUUAGUUUUAUGGUUUUAUCAAUAAUAACGUGUACAACAGAUCCAUCUCACGCCGACAUGAGGCCAACAACGCUAGAACAACCAGUCGAUGAUAUUCUAGGCCUCGCCUAGAAUAUGCUGCUAUUCUUUAUCAAGUAAUAGAUAGUGGAUUUGUUUGACUUGGCAAGAGUAGGCUUUGAUUUGAAUACCAGAAAUAUAGUGCACUCUUUCACAGCUUGAAGGGAAAUAAAAGCUGUGCAGACUAUUCAAAAUAAUGUUCACCCAAGGUCAUGGGCAAUAUGACGUGAAUAGGAAACUGCAUGUCAGACAUUAACUUAAUGUUCUAUAUUAUUUUUAAACAAAUGAAUCUAAUAUUUUAAGACAAUAAAUAAAUAUUUAUUUUUAUAAUUAGCCCAGUUUUUCGUCGACGAAGCCAUCUUAAGAGAAGCUUCAUUGCAAAUAUCAGGCCGAUAUUUAACUAUAGGGGACAACAAACAAGAGUAGACACAUCGUGAGCUGUAGUUGUAGAAAGAGGAGAAAAUGGAAACUAAGGCGAACCACUGGCUCAUGCAGCUUUCAUUUGAGCAGAGGCUGCUCGUACGCAGGCAGAGGCUGCGCAUCUUCCAGCUGAGAUAUAUGUAUCUCAGUUUAAAAAAUUCAAGGAAUUGACCAAUAUCGGCAAAAACCUUGUUUAAAAUAAUAAGAUCAAUUUUGUUUUAAUUUUAGCUGAGUCCGUAAUAGUUUAUAUUACCAUAAAAAUGAAAUAGCGCUUGUUACAAUAGUCAAGCAAAUCCAAAUAUAUGUUUUACUUUAUGCUGGUACUACAGUAAAUUUUAUGACACUAAUGAGUAUAUUUUACGCUAAUAAAACUACUCUCAACUUAGCAUUUCAAAAUGACUAUUUAUUUUUUUAUUGCUAAGAUGGGUGGACGAGCUUACAGCCCACCUGGUGUUAAGUGGUUACUGGAGCCCAUAGCCAUCUACAACGUAAAUGCGCCACCCACCUUGAGAUAUAAGUUCUAAGGUCUCAGUAUAGUUACAACGGCUGCUCUACCCUUCAAAACGAAACGCAUUACUGCUUCACGGUGCGGACUCACAAGUGGUCCUACCACCAGUAGAAUUCCAGUAUUUAGCUUCAUCGUAUAUUUUGUAUUCACAGUAUUUGGCAUGUUCUGCUUCUAGUUUAUAGGGUUAUAGAGCUAUCACCUUGCUAUCAUCCUACUUACCUCAGCCCCAAGUUCAGUUAUGUUUCUUUGAAGUUAUCGGCAGUCGAUAUUAUAUUUCAAUUGUGGCUUCAAUUUCAUGCGGCAAGAAGUUGGACAUGUAUUACAAACAAACUACGAUUUCCUAAUUUAAGAAUUAUUAUUCAAAUAAAACAAAAUUACACAAAAAAAAUAAUUAUCAAACUUAUCUAACGGCCGUCUGGUGUAGUGGUAAGUGACAUGGUCGCUACACAAGGGGGUCGCGGGUUCGAAUCCCGCCAAGGGAAGAUAUUUGUAUGAUAAAUAUAAAUGUAUUUUCCAGGGUUAUGGAUAUAUAUUAAAUAUGUGUAUAAUAAAAAUCUUACAUCUAUUUCCGUUAUCUGGUACCUGUAACACAAGUUCUUUACGAACUUACCACGGGACCAGUUAACGUGGCGUGAUUGUUAGUAAAUAUUUAUAUUUAUAUUAUUAUUAUUAUCACAAUGAACAAAAAUCAGUGGUGGUUGAUCCACAUUUUGUCUAAAUUAUGAAUUAUGUUUUUCAUUUUGUAAGUAAUAUUCAUGUAAGUAUCC